GAUUCAUGGCUUGGGGGUCAGCAGUUUGUAUCAUUGUCAAGGGAACACCUGGAAAAAGGGGAAUGAAGACCACAUCUCCCUCCCUUUUGAGUAACCAUGAUGCUGGCUCGCAAGAUGGCCGAGAUGGAAAGAGCCGGGCUUGGAAACCAGAGACCUGGCUGAGCAUGCGGACGCUACCCUCUCCCAGCUGCAGGGCCUGAGCCCUUCUCCAGGCUCAGGUUUGCUUACCUGGUGGGCUCACACCUGUCCUGCCUGCUUCAUGAGGAAGUCGAUAAAUACAGUUCUUCAACCCCUGUGAGACGUGGUCCUCCAUCAAGUGAAAAUGUACAUUAAGGAGGGACCCCUGGCUGGUGGCGACCUACUACAUCCUACUUGGAAUGAAGGCUCAACAUCUUGCUUUAUAAGCUGUUUUUCCUAUUAAUAUAUCAGAAACAUUUUCCUUUUAACAAAUUUGUGCAAGAGCUCCUUGAAACAUUUCCAUGCUGUGUCCUCCCCAUUGCUCUAGGACUGAGAUGGGAAUGGCCAUUCGGAACAUCCUGGCAUCAUUUGGAAAUGCUGUGAGUGACAUACCUGCUCUUGAGCCUCAUGUAAAAGGGCUGCACGGAAAGGGUGGAAUCUUGAGUGUGUUUUUCCCUCGUCUAUAUUUCAGGGCUUCUGUAGCACUGCUGUUUAAAUUUCAUAACAAAUUUCUUAAUAAAAACAACAGGCAUGC